rnacentral:rRNA from 1 species
CCUACGGGAGGCAGCAGUCGAGAAUCAUUCACAAUGGGGGAAACCCUGAUGGUGCGACGCCGCGUGGGGGAAUGAAGGUCUUCGGAUUGUAAACCCCUGUCAUGUGGGAGCAAAUUAAAAAGAUAGUACCACAAGAGGAAGAGACGGCUAACUCUGUGCCAGCAGCCGCGGUCAUACAGAGGUCUCAAGCGUUGUUCGGAAUCACUGGGCGUAAAGCGUGCGUAGGCUGUUUCGUAAGUCGUGUGUGAAAGGCGCGGGCUCAACCCGCGGACGGCACAUGAUACUGCGAGACUAGAGUAAUGGAGGGGGAACCGGAAUUCGCGGUGUAGCAGUGAAAUGCGUAGAUAUCGAGAGGAACACUCGUGGCGAAGGCGGGUUCCUGGACAGUAACUGACGCUGAGGCACGAAGGCCAGGGGAGCGAAAGGGAUUAGAUACCCUUGUAGUC